GUGACUUCCACCAUGGCGUACCGCGGCCAGGGCCAGAAGGUGCAGAAGGUGAUGGUGCAGCCCAUCAACCUUAUCUUCAGAUACUUGCAAAAUGUACAGAUCUCGAAUUCAGGUGUGGCUGUAUGAACAAGUGAAUAUGCGGAUAGAGGGUUGUAUUAUUGGCUUUGAUGAGUACAUGAACCUCGUAUUAGAUGAUGCAGAAGAAAUUCAUUCUAAAACAAAGUCAAGAAAACAACUGGGUCGGAUCAUGCUCAAAGGAGAUAAUAUUACUCUGCUCCAAAGCGUUUCCAACUAGCAGUGGCCAAGCAUGGGAGAGGUUGAGAAGGGGCUCAGGGGCUGCUGGUGACUACAUUUACUCAUCCUGUUUCACUUGUACAUUCUCAUUGGGGUAAAAAUAAAUGUGAGCUUGUUUUUGUU
rnacentral:lncRNA from 1 species